GCGAGUGCGUUUGGGGCGCCGGGGACCAGAGCCCAGGCGGAAGCGGGGGAGUCAGUGUGGAACGCGCGUGCGCGGGCAUCCUCCCCGGCCCGCUUUUCUACAAGAUGUUGGGAUUUUUGCAGCGCCCUGUGGUGGUGACAGCUGACAUCAACUUGAAUGUCGUGGCUCUGACCGCGGUGGGGUUGCUGAGCCGACUCUGGCAGCUUUCCUAUCCAAGGGCCGUGGUUUUUGAUGAAGUAUAUUAUGGGCAGUACAUCUCUUUUUACAUGAAGCGGAUCUUCUUUUUGGAUGGCAGUGGACCACCGUUUGGCCACAUGCUGCUGGCCUUGGGAGGUUAUUUAGGAGGAUUUGAUGGUAACUUUUUGUGGAACAGAAUUGGAGCAGAAUACAGCACCAACGUGCCCGUGUGGUCCCUGCGCCUGCUGCCGGCCCUUGCAGGGGCCCUGUCGGUGCCCAUGGCCUACCAGAUCGUGUGGGAGCUCGGCUUCUCUCACUGUGCCGCCGUGGGGGCCGCUCUGCUGAUUCUGAUCGAGAACGCUCUGAUCACUCAGUCAAGGCUGAUGCUUUUGGAAUCAGUGUUGAUAUUUUUCAAUCUGUUGGCCGUGCUGUCUUACCUGAAGUUCUCCAACUCCCAGAAACACAGGCCCUUCUCUCCGAGCUGGUGGUUCUGGUUGCUGCUGACGGGUGUGGCCUGCUCCUGUGCCGUCGGCACCAAGUAUGUGGGUGUGUUCACAUACCUACUGGUGCUCGGGGUUGCCGCUGCCCACGCCUGGCACCUGAUAGGAGACCAGACGCUGUCAAAUGUCCGUGUGCUCUGUCACCUGCUGGCCCGAGCGGUGGCCCUGUUGGUCGUCCCGGUCCUCGUGUACCUGCUCUUCUUCUAUGUGCACCUGCUGCUGCUCUGCCGCUCCGGGCCCCACGACCAGAUCAUGUCCAGUGCUUUCCAGGCCAGCUUGGAGGGGGGGCUGGCGCGGAUCACGCAAGGCCAGCCCCUGGAGGUGGCCUACGGUUCCCAGGUCACUCUGAAGAACGUCUUUGGCCAACCCGUGCCCUGCUGGCUUCAUUCCCACCAGAGCACCUACCCCAUGAUAUACGAGAAUGGCCGCGGCAGCUCCCACCAGCAGCAGGUGACCUGCUACCCCUUCAAGGAUGUCAACAACUGGUGGAUUGUAAAGGACCCCGGGAGGCACCAGCUGGUGGUGAACGACCCCCCGAGACCUGUGCGGCACGGCGACAUCGUGCAGCUGGUGCACGGCAUGACCACCCGCCUCCUCAACACGCACGACGUCGCGGCCCCCCUGAGCCCUCACUCCCAGGAGGUGUCCUGCUACAUCGACUACAACGUCUCCAUGCCUGCCCAGAACCUCUGGAGGCUGGACAUUGUGAACAGAGAGUCGGACACGGACGUCUGGAAGACCAUCUUGUCGGAGGUCCGGUUCGUGCACGUGAACACCUCAGCCAUCCUCAAGCUGAGCGGGGCGCCCCUCCCGGACUGGGGUUUUCGGCAGCUGGAGGUGGUCGGGGAGAAGCUGUCCCGGGGCUACCACGGGAGCACCGUGUGGAACGUGGAGGAGCACCGCUACGGCAGGAGCCAGGAGCAGAAGGAAAGGGAGCUGGAGCUGCGCUCCCCUACGCAGACGGACGCCAGCAGGAACCUCAGCUUCAUGGCCAGAUUCUCAGAGCUGCAGUGGCGGAUGCUGACGGUGAGAAGCGAUGAUUCCGAACACAAAUACAGCUCCACGCCGCUGGACUGGGUCACGCUAGACACCAACAUCGCCUACUGGCUGCACCCCAGGACCAGCGCACAGAUCCACCUGCUUGGAAACAUCGUGAUCUGGGCCUCGGCCAGCCUUGCCACCCUGGUGUACGCCCUGCUCUUGGCCUGGUACCUGCUCAGACGCCGAAGAAGAGUCUGCGACCUCCCUGAGGAUUGCUGGCUGCGCUGGGCGCUGGCCGGGGCUCUGUGCGCCGGGGGCUGGGCCGUGAACUACGUGCCCUUCUUCGUGAUGGAGAAGACGCUGUUCCUCUACCACUACCUGCCGGCGCUCGCCUUCCAGAUCCUCCUGCUCCCUGUGGUCUUGGAGCACGUCAGCGGCCGCCUGUGCAGGUCCCAGCUCCAGAGGAGCUUCUUCAGCGCGCUGGUCGUGGCGUGGUUUGCCUCUGCCUGUCAUGUGUCCAACACGCUGCGCCCGCUAACCUACGGGGAUAGGUCACUCUCACCCAGCGAACUCAAGGCCCUUCGCUGGAAAGACAGCUGGGAUAUCCUGAUCCGGAAAUACUAGCAGGACACAGACACAGUGACGGACGGCAGGGCCGGGUCAGGACAAAGUAGAACCGUCUUUUUUGAGCAUGUUCACUUCUGACAACGCAGAGUGGCUCUGAGCUUGGUGGAGACUCAGGCUCGGCAGGGAUUCUGUUCUGGUUUCGUUGUUGAAACAGUCCUCUGAUGAGCACCUCGUUUUGAGCAAAGUCUGUUUUUCCCGGACCGUAAAGAACAACGCCCUCCAUGUCUGCUGACUCCUGAGAGCCCCGUGAGCUAGCUGAGUGUGCAGCGGCUGGCACGGGGCUCCUGCUGGCCUGGAUGACGGCAGGGAGGGGCCGGUUCGGGUCGAAGCAGACGAGGCCCCGGUCUCGCUGUCAGAGGCUGGUGGUGGGCUUUGGCUGACUGGCCCGCUGACCUGCUGACCCAGCGAGGCCGUGGGGCAUCACCCUCAUGGGUCAGUGGCACACGAGCUACUGGGACGCCGGCCUGAGGAGGUUGUGGAAGGCUGGCCGUUCCUCCUCACCAUCGCUGACUCUUCAACCGCUGCCCAGAGAGCCUGCUGCGGGGUGCGUGCGCGACUAGCCUCUUCAGCCGUCAAGGCCAGCCGGACUUUCCAGUGCCAGCCAAAGGCAGCCCAGAGAAACACGGCAUGGAUGAAGUUUCUAAGCACCUACUGUGUGCCAGACACCACUUUGGCAGCCAACAGACAAAAAUUCCUGCCCCUGUGGAGCCUACUGUUCAGACCACGUCCAUCCAUGGCUUGGCUCUCACAGAACGGGGCACCGGGGGUCCUUCUGAAAAGGGAGAAAGGGAGGUCCCCAAGCAAGCGGAAGGCGGUACCGGCAGGCAGAACUCCUCGAAGGCCGGCUUGACGAAGGUGGUGUACUGCGUCAGGAUCUGCUCCAGGUCCCGGCCGCGGUGCACGUCCCGGAGAACUGUGGCGACAGGAGCAGGGUGGGGACCUUCAGACCCCCGGGACCCGGGGCCGGGCCGGCCAGGGGCAGCGAGGCCCGCGUCCGCCUUACCUCUUCGCGACAGCCUGACGUCAGAGUCGGUGUCCACAAAGAG